AGCGAACGCUGGCGGCAGGCCUAACACAUGCAAGUCGAACGAACCUUUCGGGGUUAGUGGCGGACUGGGGAGUAACACGGUGGAACGUGCCUUUAGGUCUGGCAGAACUCAGGGAAACUUGUGCUAAUACCGAAUGUGCUCCUCGGUGGGAAGAUUUAUCGCCUUUAGAGCGGCCCGCGUCUGCUUAGCUAGUUGGUUGAGGUAAUGGCGUAACAAGGCGACGAUCAGUAGCUGGUCAGAGAGGAUGAUCAGGGACAUUGGGAGUGAGACACGGCGCAAAAUCCUACGGGAGGGAGCAAUGGGGAAUCUUGCGAAAUGGGCGAAAGGAUGAAGCAGCCAUGACGGGUGAAUGCUGAAGGUCUUAGGAUUGUGAAAUUAUUUAACCGGGGACGAUAAUGACGGUACCCGGAGAAGAAGCCCCGGCUAACUUCGUG
rnacentral:rRNA from 1 species